ACAUCAUACUCUUUCCCAAGCUGUCUCUGCUCACUAGAGUUUGAGUCUGUCGGUGAUUCUCCUAUAUAGAAGGCAUAGCUGAUACAAAUUCAAGACAGGAAAAGGCAAGGUGGAGAAAUCAAGACCCCAACAGAGGGCUGACCAGGUUACUCAGCAAUGCUGUGGCAGAAACACACAAAAGAGUCCGUGGCUUGUGAUUCACAGGCCAAGACGCUGCCUUGGCGCAGCACUCCCCGUGUUGACGUGGAAGGUGGUGAUGGCAGUGAGCAAAAAAGUGAUCCAUGCACAGAUGCAUUUGUGAACGCCGGAUGAAACAAAGUUAAAAUAGGACCCAGCGGAUGAAGUGGACUGAAACACUGAAUCUGAAACAUUGAUGAUCACUACAGCAAAGGGAAGAGCUCGGUAAAUUGUGCAUAUCGUUCUUAGAUCUUCCACCCAAAAGUAACACUUCCACUUACAUGUAUUGGCCACGAGACAGGAUUGUGCCAUGUUGCCCAGGCUGGUCUGGAACUCCUGGACUCAAGUGAUCCACCCACCUCGAACCUCAACUUCCUAAAGUGCUGGGAUUACAGGCGCGAACCACUGUGUCUGGCCUCCGGGUGGUUUUAAGUGGGAACUUUUAUUUCUCACACAUUCUUCUGUAUAUUCUAUAUUUUCUACAAGAAAUAUAUAUUACUUUUCUAAUCAGGAAAAAAAAUGAAUAUAUGCAUGUGCCUUUACAAAACUGUUCUCAUUCUGCAGAUGAGUGAAACCAAGGUAACAGAUGGGAAGGAAAUGACUCACGUAAGAUCACACAGCAAUCGAUGUCACAUUAUGACAAUGUUCAGGAAACUGCAUUUCCAUUUUUGCACCCCACUCUCUUGGGUCUGUGUUACCCACAGCUUUUCUAACAAGAAUCUCGUUGGCAUCUGACUUGAUCUGGGGACCUAGCACUACACUAUGCAGAAGGGGGCCCCCCCUCAGAAGCCCAGUAUCAGUUAGUAUGUGCUUAUCUGCAGGGGCUCACUGCUGUGGGAGUUUCAGAAGUAGAAGCCACAGUCCCUGUUCUCAAAGGCUUACAGAUGGGUACUCACAGUUGCACAUGAAGCAGGGAUGUCAGUGCUGUUGUGCAGACUCUGAAUGCUGUAAGAAUAGCAGGGGAAGGAACUGGUUGUCAGAGGAGAAACCAAGAACCGUUGGCACAAAAUCUUUUUACCAGGGUUGUUCACAAAAGAAAAAAUGCUGGAAGCUCUGCUCCUUUUAAUUUCCCCCAGCUACCCUGUGUAGGCACCUGAAGGUCAACAGUAUGAAGGAGAAGGGGGUAGAAAUGCACAAAAUAGUUCUCGUUUUGCAUAUUCCAUAGUUCAUAGUAUGUAUUGAAGGUCUUCUUUGACAAACCCCACUGAAGUUUCCUGAUUUCACCUUCACCAUGGCUAAAAGCAGCAGCUCGCCCCCACGCUUUGAUUUUUCCCUCCUGUACUUUCUCUUCCCCUUCUGUUUCUCUUGGUGAGGGGUCCAAAUUGGAAACUUUUUUGUCCCACAGCCCACCAUAAGGGUUCAUUCUGUGAACCUAUGUCUAUUGCAUCCCAGCUUACCUAACAGCUCUUUCCCCAAGAACCAAACUUUAAGUUCCUCUCAGCAGCACAGUAAAUCUUCAGAGGCUAAUACAUGUUUUUUUUUUCUUGAGAUGGAGUUUUGCUCUUGUUGCCCAGGCUGGAGUGCAAUGGCACAAUCUCGGCUCACUGCAACCUCUGCCUCCUGGGUUCAAGCGAUUCUCUCACCUCAGCCUCCUGAGUAGCUGGGAUGACAGGCGCCCGCCACCAUGCCCAGCUAAUUUUUGUAUUUUUAGUAGACACGGGGUUUCACCAUGUUGGUCAGGCUGGUCUCAAACUCCUGAUCUCAGGUGAUCCACCCGCCUCGGCCUCCCAAAGUGCUGGGAUUACAGGUGUGAGCCACCGUGCCCAGCCCACAGACUAAUAUCUUUAAGGAACUUCUAGAAAUCAUCUCUGGCCGAGUCAUCCAGGUGCAAACGAGAGGUUCUGGGCUGAGAUCAAAGAGAACAAGGGGAAGAUUCAGCAGUUACACAGCUGGGCUCAUAGUGAGGGGAUUUGCAUGAAUAUUAACAUCAGCUCCAUUUACUGGGUUCUUUUACCCUGUGCCAGGCAGGUAAUUUGCUUGAUAUGCAUGAUCUGAUUUAAUUUAGUUCUCAUAGUGAUCUUUCUAAAGUAGGCACUACGAUCCCAUCUUCACAGGGAGAAAGGAAGCAAAGUAAGUUGCUCAAAAACACAGCUAGUCAACACCCCCAGAAUGUAUCAUGCCAAGAGUGAACUCUAAUGUAAACUGUGGACUUUGGGUGAUAAUGAUGUGUCAAUGUAGGUUCAAUGAUUGCAACAAAUGUACCACUCUGGUGUGGGAUGUUGACAGUGGGGGAGGCCAUGAGUUGGGGUGAUAGAGGAGAACUCUCUGUACUUUCUGAUUGAUUUUGCUGAGAACCUAAAACAGCUCUAAAAAACAAAGUCUAUGUAACCACACACACACACACACACACACACACACACCCCUAGUAAAUAGUAGGACCAGGAGUUAAGACUAGGUCUGUCUCCUUAGGUGAUGGUGAGUUAUUAUCAACAACAUGUUGAACUCCACCGUACAGGUAGCAAUAAUGAUGUGUGUGUGUGUGCGUGCGUGUGUGCACAUGUGCUGUGCAUGUAUUGAGGAUUGAGGGGGUCUGUGUUAAAAAAGAAAGAAUUGGAAGGAAGAAAUCUCAAACUGAGUCCUGGCUCCAUCACCAGCUGUGUGAUCCUGGACAGGACACUUUGGUUUUAGUUUCCUCAUCUGUAAAUUGCUACUGGGUCAUUGUGAAGAUCCAAUAAAAUAAAAUAUGUACAAAGUACUCUGAAAGCAUAAAGUACUCUGAAAGC
rnacentral:lncRNA from 1 species